UACGAAGGGGGCUAGCGUUGCUCGGAAUCACUGGGCGUAAAGGGUGCGUAGGCGGGUCUUUAAGUCAGGGGUGAAAUCCUGGAGCUCAACUCCAGAACUGCCUUUGAUACUGAAGAUCUUGAGUUCGGGAGAGGUGAGUGGAACUGCGAGUGUAGAGGUGAAAUUCGUAGAUAUUCGCAAGAACACCAGUGGCGAAGGCGGCUCACUGGACCGAGACUGACGCUGAGGCGCGAAAGCGUGGGGAGCAAACAGG
rnacentral:rRNA from 1 species